AUCAUAAUCAACUCUUAUCUCUUAAUGUUAAAUAGUUCCUUUCUCUAAAUUGAUGUCGGUUCUAUAAUUUGUGCUUCUGUUGAGCACCUGCACAUUCUGAGAGUGCAAACGCCACUGUCUGCCCUGGACCCAGACCACACAUUUGGAGACCUUUUGAGCUCGCAGUUCACCCUCCCAUCUUCUCAAGGUGGGCUUUGCUGAUAACGUUCAUUCUGAAACUUGGAGUCACAAACCUUCCUCCGGGCAUUGCGUCAGCAACCUGAAGUCAAGACAGGUGUCUCUUUCUCCAUUGCAUCCCCAGCCUCUAAAACAGGUCUGGUAUGCUGACUGCUUGAAUGAAUGAAUGAAAGAACAAAUGAACAAACGAAUGACACUCAAAAUAUGGGAAAGGUAAUGAGUGACUUAGCCUGACGGACAAGAAUGACAAAGAUAUGUAAUAUUUUUAAUUUGGGGCAACAGUGAGAGGAGAUAUUAACUAGAGCAGCAUUCCCUGUCCUCUUCCUCCAAUAGGUAGAGCUGUUUAUACCAAAACAGAGACAGGAAGCACUGCUGUUUGGCUUACUUGUGUGAUCUUUGUUCUGCUCCAGCUUUCCUAGGUUCUCUUCAGACCCAGGCAUCUUGUUGCCUCUCUCCACGAGCUCUGUCACGUGGCUCUUUCAGACUGCCCACCCCUGGGUGCACAGAAAUUUCAAGCAUUAUUUUUGACUACUACAUACUACUGACUGCUCAGUUGGUGAAACUGAAGAUCUUUCACUCGGAAGAAAUAAACCAAGGAGGAGGUAAGAAAUAGAAAUAUAUUUAUGACUUUGAAAUAUAUUUUUCUUUAGAUAGUAAGAAUGCAUAGAAAUUUUUUUUUAAGAUAACCCCUUUUGAUAAUAAAAAUCAAUUUAGAGAACACAAACAGGAUAGAAUGGCCGCCAAGGGUGGAAUACAGCUGAUGACAAGACUUAAUGGCCAGUGAAAUGCUUUGCACAUGUUGUCACUCUAUAGUGUGUUGACAUGUUGAGUGUAGAGAUGUGGAAACUGAGGC
rnacentral:lncRNA from 1 species